AGGUGCUGAAGUAGAUCCCCACUCCUGGGAUGGUCCGGGCAAAGGACUGGAGGAGCAGAAGAUGGAUGAGAGGCAGCUGUCCCAGCAGCCUCUCUGUCCGCACCACGCUCCUGAGCACCGUCAUCAUCCCCACUCUGCCCGAGCUGAAAGAGGAAUGCUCAGAUAAGCUGACAGAAAGACUUACCCGGGCUGCAUGCUGCUCUGCAAAGUCUGCAGACGGGUCUUGACCAGGUCCAGAGGUUGGAA